GAGGAUAUAGCUUAGGUGGUAGAAUGUGUGCUUAGCAUGCACAAGGUCCUGGGUUCAAUCCCCAGUACCUCCA
rnacentral:tRNA from 1 species